AGAGUUUGAUCAUGGCUCAGGACGAACGCUGGCGGCGUGCCUAAUACAUGCAAGUCGAACGCUUCUUUUUCCACCGGAGCUUGCUCCACCGGAAAAAGAGGAGUGGCGAACGGGUGAGUAACACGUGGGUAACCUGCCCAUCAGAAGGGGAUAACACUUGGAAACAGGUGCUAAUACCGUAUAACAAUCAAAACCGCAUGGUUUUGAUUUGAAAGGCGCUUUCGGGUGUCGCUGAUGGAUGGACCCGCGGUGCAUUAGCUAGUUGGUGAGGUAACGGCUCACCAAGGCCACGAUGCAUAGCCGACCUGAGAGGGUGAUCGGCCACAUUGGGACUGAGACACGGCCCAAACUCCUACGGGAGGCAGCAGUAGGGAAUCUUCGGCAAUGGACGAAAGUCUGACCGAGCAACGCCGCGUGAGUGAAGAAGGUUUUCGGAUCGUAAAACUCUGUUGUUAGAGAAGAACAAGGAUGAGAGUAACUGUUCAUCCCUUGACGGUAUCUAACCAGAAAGCCACGGCUAACUACGUGCCAGCAGCCGCGGUAAUACGUAGGUGGCAAGCGUUAUCCGGAUUUACUGGGUGUAAAGGGCGCGCAGGCGGCCCCAAAAGUCAGAUGUGAAAGAUCAAGGCUUAACUUUGACAUGUCAUCUGAAACUUUGGGACUUGAGUAUCAGAGGGGAAAGCGGAAUUCCUGGUGGAGCGGUAAAAUGCGCAGAGAUCAGGAGGAACACCGGUGGCGAAGGCGGCUUUCUGGCUGACAACUGACGCUGAGGCGCGAAAGCGUGGGGAGCAAACAGGAUUAGAUACCCUGGUAGUCCACGCCGUAAACGAUGAUUACUGGGUGUAGGGGGUAUCGACUCCCUCUGUGCCGAAGCAAACGCGAUAAGUAAUCCACCUGGGGAGUACGGCCGCAAGGCUAAAACUCAAAGGAAUUGACGG
rnacentral:rRNA from 1 species